rnacentral:tRNA from 1 species
CCGUGGCCGAGUGGUUAAGGCGACAGACUUGAAAUCUGUUGGGCUCUGCCCGCACAGGUUCGAAUCCUGUCGG